CCUACGGGAGGCAGCAGUGGGGAAUUUUGGACAAUGGGCGCAAGCCUGAUCCAGCCAUGCCGCGUGUGGGAAGAAGGCCUUCGGGUUGUAAACCACUUUUGUCAGGGAAGAAACGGCUCUUACUAAUAUUAGGAGCUAAUGACGGUACCUGAAGAAUAAGCACCGGCUAACUACGUGCCAGCAGCCGCGGUAAUACGUAGGGUGCAAGCGUUAAUCGGAAUUACUGGGCGUAAAGCGUGCGCAGGCGGCUUUGCAAGACAGAUGUGAAAUCCCCGGGCUCAACCUGGGAACUGCAUUUGUGACUGCAUGGCUAGAGUACGGUAGAGGGGGAUGGAAUUCCGCGUGUAGCAGUGAAAUGCGUAGAUAUGCGGAGGAACACCGAUGGCGAAGGCAAUCCCCUGGACCUGUACUGACGCUCAUGCACGAAAGCGUGGGGAGCAAACAGGAUUAGAUACCCUGGUAGUCCACGCCCUAAACGAUGUCAACUGGUUGUUGGACGGCUUGCUGUUCAGUACGAAGCUAACGCGUGAAGUUGACCGCCUGGGGAGUACGGCCGCAAGGUUGAAACUUAAUGAAAUUGACGGNGUAGAGAGNGCGAGGACGACGACGAGGGAGGAGG
rnacentral:rRNA from 1 species